GACGUAGGGCGCGAGCGUUGUCCGGAUUUAUUGGGCGUAAAGGGCGCGUAGGCGGCCUGUGCAAGUCAGUUGUGAAAUCUCCGAGCUUAACUCGGAACGGUCAACUGAUACUGCUCGGCUAGAGUGCGGAAGGGGCAACUGGAAUUCUUGGUGUAGCGGUGAAAUGCGUAGAUAUCAAGAGGAACACCUGCGGCGAAGGCGGGUUGCUGGGCCGACACUGACGCUGAGGCGCGAAAGCUAGGGGAGCGAACGGG
rnacentral:rRNA from 1 species